GUGGGUUUGGGGCACCGCCAAGUCCUUAGAGUUUUAAGCGUUUGUGCUCGUAGUUCUCGGGCGGAUAUAUUGGUAAUGGGAUAUCAAGAUUUAAGGCCAG
rnacentral:rRNA from 1 species